rnacentral:rRNA from 1 species
CGUGUAGGCGGCUUGGCAAGUUGGAUGUGAAAGCCCACGGCUCAACCGUGGAGGAGCAUCCAAAACUGCUUCGCUCGAGUCUCGGAGAGGAAGGUGGAAUGCUUGGUGUAGAGGUGAAAUUCGUAGAUAUCAAGCAGAACACCUGCGGCGAAGGCGGCCUUCUGGACGAUGACUGACGCUGAGACGCGAAAGCGUGGGGAGCAAACA